AGUGAACGCUGGCGGUAGGCCUAACACAUGCAAGUCGAACGGCAGCACAGUAAGAGCUUGCUCUUACGGGUGGCGAGUGGCGGACGGGUGAGGAAUACAUCGGAAUCUACUUUUUCGUGGGGGAUAACGUAGGGAAACUGACGCUAAUACCGCAUACGACCUACGGGUUAAAGCAGGGGAUCUUCGGACCUUGCGCGAUUCAAUGAGCUGAUGUCGGAUUAGCUAGUUGGCGGGGUAAAGGCCCACCAAGGCGACGAUCCGUAGCUGGGCUGAGAGGAUGAUCCGCCACACUGGAACUGAGACACGGUCCAGACUCCUACGGGAGGCAGCAGUGGGGAAUAUUGGACAAUGGGCGCAAGCCUGAUCCAGCCAUACCGCGUGGGUGAAGAAGGCCUUCGGGUUGUAAAGCCCUUUUGUUGGGAAAGAAAAGCAGCAGGUUAAUACCCCGCUGUUCUGACGGUACCCAAAGAAUAAGCACCGGCUAACUUCGUG
rnacentral:rRNA from 1 species